GUUUUUCAGCUUGCGUGUCCUAUAGACGGAGGAAGGUCAGAAGCCGUGGGGUUGCGGUUAGGACUUGUGGACUGCUUGUGAAGAGCUGGAGUAGAGCGAGGCGAGCCAACUUGAAGAGGACCGCGGGGACGUUGGGGACCAGGGGAGGACGGCAAUGGUGGGAAUGAGCUAUAAAUGAUAAACUCUCAAGCAUGGCUACACCUGUGUUUUCCCACUGGUGGCUUUGUGAAGGUUCCAUAGGAAGUCAAUGAGAGCAUCAUUGCAAGUGAUCUUCCACGCCCCACCCCCCCAAACAACUUGUGAAAGACUUCAAAUAUGCAGAAAAAUGAAAAGAAGCCUACAAUGAACACCCGUGUGCUUUUAAGUUCUACAGUUAGUAUUUUGCUCUAUUUAUGCAGGUUUCUUUUGAUUGCUGCUUUAAGACAUUCAAACUGUUAGGCUGAGCAUUCAAGAAAAGUUUCAUAUUUAAGCUCAAAAGAUUAAGCCUCAACUACCAUUAAAUAAGUGCAUAUCUAUGAAAAUUAGGACCUGCCUUAUAAACAAACACCAAUAAGGCAUAGAGUGAGGUGAUGCCUGUUAAAGCAGCUCCUGGCACAGACCAACAGUUUGAGAUGACAGCCGUCAUGAUCUGCAUUCUCAUAAACCUGCAUCAGCUGCAGGCAUAGUCCCUGAGGCUCAAGAUUAAGAACUUCUCUGACCCUGCUUUGCCUUUGAUCUGUAUGCUAGCCCAAACGUGGCAUAUUGAUUGAUAAGGGGAGCUGGGAGUGUUGGUGGUGGGGGACCUGGACACAGUGGCACCAGCAAUCAUUCCUCAGGCUUAAUAGUGCUGCAGGAGACUAGGCAGUAAGGUUCCAUUGCUAACACUGGACAUUCCUGCUAGGCAAGCCCUUUUCUGCUGGCUAUUGGGUGCUCUGGCUACAAGAAUCAAAGAGCUAAUGCUUACAGGAGGAUGAUAUAUCUCUUGUCCCUCUGGUCAAGAGAUAGCACUGUGCUCCCAGUCAAUUUAAGGCCAACCAUUUAGAAAUCUGAGCAGCAGGGACUAUGACACUUAGUAUGUGUGGCCAAAUAACAGUUUCUGAAAUCCAGGUUUCUCAACUUUUUCAAAAUCCGAAAGUUAUUCUUCAAGGCUACCUUGAUCCUAGAUCUCUGAAAUGUAACAUUAUAGAUUCUCCCGGUUCCCUGAAGAAGUUGCAUUCUCAGCUGAACGACUGAGGAAAGCUUGGUUUGGGUUCUCAUGAUGGAGUGUCUGAGUGAAGAGGAGGGUCUUUGGAGGUCCCAAGAGAUCUCCUUCACUGUAUUUAAGGGGCAAUUCCUGAGGCAUUUGAAAGAUUUGCGGGGAAAUCACUGCAAGCUGCAUGGAGCAUGUGUGCAUGCACCCCAUGCUUCCCCUCCCGUGUUCUCACCUGUGCUCGGUGUUGGGGAAGCAGCUCCAGGCCUAAGGGCUAUGUGUUUACAUGUGUAUGAGUCCAUUCUGGUAUAAAAUAAGGGAAAGUGGAUGGGAGAAAGGAGCUGAUGCAAAAUCACUUCAAACUGAAAUUGGGGUAGGGUUAGAAAGCAAAGAGACCUGGUUUUCGUGGUAUUUCAAUCCCAAAGCCCUGCUGGAUUUAGGGGACGGACUUCCCCUUUCAAAAUAUUUGAAGCCAGAGGGGGACCUGAAACUGUUUAAAAAUCUGACUUAGUGAAGAGGUCAGGCCCUCAGCACAGCUGCCUGACAGGAAAAGGUCAGAGAGAGAUGGAAACACCUCUUAGUUUUCUUCAGUCUGUUCUUUAAUAUGCAAUGUACAGCUUAAAAUUUGGAAAGCAAUAUAUCUGCCAUGCAAAGAAGUAGGAACUGUCACCCAUAAUCUAGAGAACAGUCACCAGAACAGAGCCAUAGAUGACCCAGAUGUUUGAAUUGGAAGACAACUCUUUAAAAUACUUUUAUAAUACUUUAAAACCUUUAAAUGCUAUUAUAGGAGGAAGAGUCUGAGGUGGUAGCAUAGGACGACCCUGAACUCACCUUUUCCAUGGGCACACUGUAUCUGUACCUAACAAAGAGAAGAGUUCUUCCUGAAGAAGUACUGAGGGCUGAUUGAACAGCUGCUGCACAACAAAGGAUGACACAGCAAAUGGAGACACAGUAAUGAUGGGAAACCCACCCCUGAGACUAUGAACUAUGAUAGUGAGAGAUAGCAUGGAGGGACCCAUGUGCAGAUUUGCCUGAUCUGGGGCAUAGCAAAAAAAGAAAAAAAAAAAAAAGUUAAAGGGCAACUAGACUGUAAGUAAGGAAACCCAUUUACUAACACUAGAGGGGCCACCAAUGGUGGGGAGAACUACUGGAACUCUCUCUGGGGUUGGGGGCACAGGCAAGCACCAUUGUUUAUGUUUCCUCUCCCUCUUGAUAGCAUGAAUGGGAGCAGAGCCCAGGCGUUCUGGCUGGCCUGCCACCUCAGUGAACCCUGACCCCUAGUCCACACUAGCUGCAGCCAUUCCACCCAAAAGGCCUCCUGCCUGUGCUCUCCCCAGCUCUAGCUAUCACACCAGGCUGGCUCUGGCCUGAAGCACCCUGAGGCUUGCUGACACAUGCCUGCCUCAGCUGCAGCUGUCCCAUCAGGGGACCAUCUGCAUGGAGGGCCUCAGCCUGUACCCAUCUCAGCUCCAGCCAUGCCACCAGGGUGGUCCCAACCUGGAGCACCCCAGGACCACCUGGGCCAUGCUUGCUUCAGUUUCAGUUGUUCUGCCAAGGUAGUCCCAGUAUGGACCACCUUGAAACUCCCCAGCCCACAUACUAGCUCCAGAUUUUCUGCCAGGAUGGCCCCAUGCAGCAUCACAGGACUACCCGACCUAUGUCCACUCCCAUCUCCAGCUGUCUCCAGCUGCCAGGGGGACUCUGGUUCAGAGCACUCUGGGAUCUUUAGGCCCGUGCUCACCACAGCUCCAGCCAUCUCACCAGGAUGACCCUGGCACAAAGUGCUGUGGGACCUUCUAGCCUCUGCCUGCUCCAGCCCCAGCCAGCCAGCCAGCCAGUCAAAGUUGCCAGGCACAUGCAACCUAUACAGGGGACAUUCCUACUCAAGGUUACUCCUUCAAAACUAGGAGAGGUAGUUGUUUUUCUUAAUUCACAGAAGCAAACACAAAAAAUCAAACAAAAUGAGAAGACAGAGGAAUAUGCUCCAAAUGAAAGAAAAAGACAAAACUUUAGAAAAAGAACUAAAUGGCAUGGAGAUAAGCAAUAUACCUGAUAAAGAGUUUAAAGUGAUGGUCAUAAUGAUGUUUACCAGACUGAGAAGAGUGCAUGAAUUUAGUGACGACUUCAACAAAGAGAUAGACAAUAUCAAAAAGAAUCA